AAAGUUAAAAGGCUUUUUCAUUUAGAUUCCCGUCAUCAUCAAUCAUCAAUAAACAUCAAUAUAUCAUGGAGAGCAGCAACAUGGCAAUGAAAUCUUCUUUAAUUGCAUGGCUAUUCCUGAGCUUGCUCUCCAUAGCCCAUUCAUAUACCUCUUUUCAAGACUGUUAUGGCACCUGCGUCGUCACAUGCGCCGUCACGCCCGGCAUUCCUAUCUCCGAAUGCCCCAAGAGAUGCUUCAAAACUUGCUGGUCUAAGACCGCCAAUAUCGUCGGCGGGACACAGCUGGGAAAUAAUCAAUUCUCUUGCGUGUUCGACUGCGCAAUUCCCUCGUGUACCAAGUUUAGCACAAAGGAAGAUCCAGCUGCAGAAAAAGUGGGGAGGUGUGUGGAUUCUUGCUCUCACGGAUGUUUCAAGAUUUGAUGAUGUGUGGAUAUCCUAAAUGGAAGCCAAUUAACUAUUUUUUAUGUAUAAUUUGUAAGAAAUGUAUUGUGUUUUAUUAUUAAUGAAACAUCAUUCAUUAUUCUUGGAA